rnacentral:lncRNA from 1 species
CAUCCUCCAAUAGUUUUUCUUGCUCCUCAACGCCAGUCAUGGUUGGUGUCAUUGGCUGCGAAAAAAACAGAGAUACCUACCGAUGCCAAGUAGCACCAUGCAAGAAUCAUCUACCUGGAUAAUACACAUGCUUAUCAAGUUUACGAUGAAUACAUCCCAGCACUCUAAAAUGGAUGAAAAGUUAGUGACAGUUGGAGAUUCAUAGAAAGGUGGUUGAUGCCUGUUAAUUUGUGUCUACAAUAUGAUGACUUCAUAAUCAAAAAUAGUAAUAUAUCCAAUUCCUUCUGGACAUUGGAUGAGAUUUAAAAAAAAGUUAUUAGAAAUUCUUAGUUUUCCAGUACUCCAACUCCGACAGGGUUCUUCAUAGUUUUUCUAAACUAAUUCUAAGAUCACAUAUUAUCGGUUAUAUGAACAGAAAAAAUUUGAUGUUCCAAGACAAGAUAUUUUUAAAUGAUGAGGAAAACUUGCACCAAACUCUUACAUGAGCAUUUCACCACUCAACUACUUGGGCACUGUAGCAUGAAUGCAUCGAAAGGAAAUGCCAGAUUGCAAGGGGUUCUUACUAAUUUCUAAAAAAGUUAUUAACAGCAAGUGACUAUUAAAUUUUCGAUUGCAGACUUGAAAUCAAAAUCGAAUCAUAAGAAAAUAAUACUUGUCUUUGUAUACUACCAAAUUUGGUAAAACAUACAGCUAUCUCGAAAACAAACUGUAUAGUUUUGCAUACAACAUUUCGGCUGUCAUAACAAUACGCCGUUGUUUACAACCCACUGAGGUUUGAACAUGAAUUAGCAGCCUUGAAAACAAUCGCCUAGCUUAAUAACUCUUGUAGUUAUUAUCCUACUACAAUAAUGUUCUGUGAAAUAGUACGAAGAAACAGACUACUACUGGUUGCAGACUCGCAAGCUCAGUUUGCUCGAAUGACAAUUCGUGAAGGCAAUUGAUCAUUGUUGCGUGACAGGGAAAAGGUAAAAAAAAAAAGUAUAUUUACCGACUUAAACUUAGUGUAAGCUGAAUCAGAGUGCAAAGAACCAAGUUUCUAUGUCAUAAUAGGUGUCCAUAGAUUAGUAACGGAUUGUAGGUUAGGGCGAGGUGAACAUAAAAUAUAAAAAUAUUACGUUAGAAUCAGAUCUGAACUGCCAUCCCCAGUCCAUCAUUUAUUUAUCAACAGCCAGAUUUAGUUUUGAGCCAAUCAAUAAAAAUUCGUAAAAUGGAAUUAAAAAAUAAUAUGUUGUUCGUAUAAGAAGAUGGAUGAUUGGUACUGACGGAUAAUGAAGGUUAUUGGAAUUUAACCUAUGACGAUGAUAUAAGUCAAUAGCGUAAAGCACCAUUCGAAGAACAUAAAAAAUGAAUCAUCGAUACAUUAUGGGUAUCAUAUUACUUUGCCGCGUACUUCUACCAGAGUUGGGAAAUACGGGCUGCAUUCCAAGGAGCAUUACACCAGUAAAACACUUGAGCUCACCAUUUUCUAUAUCUUUUCUUUUUCGUUUGUGCCGUCGAUAUCUUUGUUUCUCAGUUAAUUCAAGUCAUUCAAGUAUUGUUUUCUUCAAUAAACAUUGAGAAGCAUCGAUCGUGUUUUAUUUUAAGACAACAAAAUGGCA